UGCAACGAACCUGAGCCAUUGA
rnacentral:miRNA from 1 species